CCCUAUAUCUGGUGAUAGGACCCAACUUGUUCCAAACCGAAAUACAACUUUAAGCUGAAGCACAGUAUUUGCAAGUUUGCGGGUAACAGCAAGCUUGGCCAAUCACAGAUCCUGAUGUUACAAUAAAGGAUUGUGGGUAAUGUAGUACUUCUUAGUAAACACGUCGCCAAUUAAUUAUUGUUUUACAUUUUGAGAAAUAAACGUUGAUAAGGACUUAUACAGGAGGAAAGUCGUAUAGCUCUAGUCAAUCUACAUUGGCAGAUUUGGACAUUAUAACUCGCGUUAUGUCUCUCUUUGAGUCCUAGCUUGGCUUAGCUAACAACCAGCCACCGAGCUACAUUGACGUCUUAAAACGUACACUUUGCACACAUUAGCGCAAAAAGUAGUUAGCCAAACGUUUAGGCUAUCACACUAACAGUAACACUGUGUUUGUUAGCUAUUCAGGACUUACCUUGGUUACCCUUUUAUAUGUCACUCCAUGUCGCUUUGUGUGUCGCUCGUGUGCUCCUCUGAUGCCAGUCCGUGGAAAGUUCGCGCUUCUUUUUUUCCUUUUUUCUUCUAUUUCUUCUUCGCUGGCGCUGCUAGCGCUUCUGUGUUCCUGACGACCACGGAUGACCUUGACCUGUUGGACCCAAGUUCAUCUGGACAGCGAACAUCGUUCCGAAGUGGGGAAGUUUGUAGGAACACAGCCCCAGCCUUUGGAAUUCCAGAGAUGGCAAACUCAGAUAAGAACAGAACUCUCUUCUCUCCCUACAGAGAACAACCCCCAUUUCUGGAGACAUGGGACAUAUGUAUUUCUUUGUGUUUUCAUUCACAGCAAAAGGACAUUCAGACCUUCUGCAGAAGGAUGGAGUCCCCUGCUGAACAUUAAACACCUGGAAGAACCUUUUUGAAAGACAAUGACUUUCACUUUUAUGCUAUGAAUGUUUUGUUUAAUCAACUUUCAUGCUAAAACCUCCUUUUCACCCUCUCAGGAAUGCCAUCUUUCCUCCCCCUCUUAGGAGAUCUCUCUGCCUGCCUCCAGGGUCAUAAAAUUUUACGACCUGCUGGUGCACAUAGAGACACACUUUCUUUAAGGAACAAGAACAUCUUCAAAAUUCAUAUUUCUGAUAUGUAUUUUGUGUUUUCACGAUUACCAAAGUUGUAGUGAGAUGAUGUUGUACAUUACUUCCAAAAAUGACACUUCUAUCUCUUACAGAAGGCAAGAUAUAAAAAUGCCUGUGUCAGAGAAAAACUGACUGAGACACCUGAAUCAAGAAGCACACAGAGAACUUUUACUUGUACAAGGGCAGAGCACCGUGCACUAGAACAUCGCCGUGCAUACUGCAAAGAACUCUGCCCAAGGAAGCUUUAUUCAUAUCAUGGUACAAACAUCAUACUUUCACAACAGUGUGUGUGUGUGUGUGUGUGUGUGUGUGUGUGUGUGUGUGUGUGUGUGUGUGUGUGUGUGUGUGUGUGUGUGUUAAGAAAAGAGGAAGGACUAGUUCCUGUUUCAGAAAUGAUUUUAAAAUGUCGCAGACAGAACAGUUACAGAACUUCUUUUGCUUAAGGCUUAAAAACAGUUUCUAUGUUAUGAUCAAAAUGUAUUUACAGUUUCAACCUAACAGCCUGUUUAAUUCAAUUUCUUCCACAGUCUCACAGUAUUCCAUUAUUAAUCUCUGAAUUUAUUUUCUGUUCAGGUUGAAAAGGUGAAAACUGCAUUAUCUAUUAUCAUAUGUAUGACAUGUUAUCAUAUCUUCACUGUGACAUAUAUUUUAGUAUUUAGAACACAUUAAUACAUAUAGGUUAUUGAAUUAAAUAACUCCCAUACUUGUUAACCUGCAUAAUCUGACAUGUGUUCCACCUUUGAUGACUGGAUUAUGGUGAGGAAUAGACAGAUCGCGUUUACAUGUUUAAUAUCAUAUUUUUAAUCCACUCCUGAUCAUCUCCUCUCUGCCUCUUCUCUGAAGACAAAGAGAGUCAAACUACGAGUCAGAAAUCACGCCGAAAAGUUCUUUCCUCCGCCAAAGCACCCUGGCCUGAUAUAAACCCAGCCGAGCCCUCUCCUCACGCUCUCUUCUUCAUUCUGUCUCCCUCGGGGAUGGUUCAGGCCAAAGCAUCUCCCUAUUCUUAUUUAAAGACGCAUUUUUUUUCUAUCUUCUGAAGUUCUCUUUGUUCCAAAGUUAACUACUAUUUAUCCUCAAUUUUUGUAACAUUAAAUUAUACAUUUAGCUCACUUUCAAGCCAAAUUUAUUCGUUUUAAUCCCAAGAACUGAUUAAGAACCAGUUCUCAUUUUUCCAAAUUUUUUUUAAAGCUCUCAAUCUCUAUUCGUUCUUUUACUCGGCUAACGUCCGAGUGCCAUCGUUUUAAUCAAGUGGCGUCCUCCACCGAACCCCAGUUCCCUCAGCUGUGAACACCGGAGAUCUGCUGGUCCAGAGAUCCAUUUGCUCCGAACCGAUCGCCUAUGCAGGACGACUACCGUCACCAGCGUGACACACAGCGUGUGGGAAGCAAAGCCAUCCCAUUGCGCUGUGAGAUGUCAUCCACCGGCUACUUCUGCCUCCCAGCAUAUGACGGUUCAAUACAGUAAGACCAGCUGAGCUUCUAUGAGCUUUCUCUGUUUUUGAGUUCCAGGUUUGAUGUGACAAACCACUUGAUUACUUAAUUCAUUUAAUCCAUUAUUCUUAUCAAUCGCUCUAGUCCAAAUUACCGUUAAUUUUGUCAGGUCGUACUAUCUGGCUUCUCCUUCACCAUAAUCCUGUCUUAAUAUGCUAAUUUGAACUCACACACAUACGAUCUCACAUACACACACUCACAUACAUACACUCCCAAUGUCUCAUACACACGCACGCACACUAUGGCGUCAGAAUCGUGUCAAAACAAUCAAAUCAACUCGAAGCAAAGUGUGUGUACACACAUGAUUAUUGUCUUAAGCGUGCGUGCGUGCGUGCGUUGUCACGUGCAGAUUGUAUUUCACGCGAAACAAUAACCUGCGUGCGUAUGAAGCAGCGCGUACACGCCUGUCUGUCACUGUUUGACAAAUACUGUUACCUGCUCACACACGCAUGCGGUCGCAAUUUCUGAUUGUACACAAUAGAAAGGAUCUGCACCGCGUCCGCAAUCCGCCUCACAUAAGUGUGUCGUGUGAUUGGCCUUUUCAUUUUAGUCAGCCAGGGGAGGCAGCAGUGAGCCAUACUGGCGGAAAAGAAGAAGACGAAGAAGAGUCUCCCCUUUUCGACCGAGGCAGUUCCAGUUCGAGGUUGGAGUCGGUGGCCGAUUCGGCCCCGGUUUUUUGUUUUUCAACAGGCGGUGGGCCGCCUCCGGGCUCCAAAAACUGGGACUCUCACCGAGGAGGAGACCCAAAGCUUCCUGGAACUGUGGUCUUCAUAUGCUUCAUUUCGACCAAGGGAACCAGAUGAGAACCAUUGGUUCAAGGUAACGACCGGUGCGGGUCUGGUUCAGGUCUCUUGACGCCGAAAUCCCCGUUUGCUUUUCCACCGGCUAUGAGCCGAGUUGCGGCAGCGUCGUUGUGUCACCGCAAGACGUCAGUACAUCACUGCAUGCGUAGCCGUUCCGCAAAGGUGGCACACCGUAAACAUGGAGGUGCUGUUCCUGAGUUUUCCAGCCUACAAUGCGAUCCAGACACAAAUAAUCUGGCUGUUAGUAGUUACUUAUCUUUGUCGCAGUCACGGGUAACAGUGAUUACGUUUGAGAAGACAGGUAACUGUCAGAGAUGUUUUGAUUCUUAACAGUGAACGUGUUAGCUUAGCUGCUUAGCCUCAAAUACAUUUGCAUCCAUUACAUAGCAGUUAAACAAACACAAUAAAUUGAUGAUAGUAUCUAUAUUUACCUUUAUAGAUGUUCUUAAUUAAGAGACAGAGGUCAGCUGUUGUCUGGGAACAUCCGUGAUCACGCUACUGGUGGGACACAACUGUACUGGAUUUCAGCUGAAGGCUGCUGUUCUGUGCAAACUGUCAUGAGACAUUUUUAUUGUGAUAUACCCUUCACUGCUGUUAGCUUUUGUUUCAAUAAAUUGUUUGAAAUGAGGAAAUCACUAUUGCGUGUUUCUACUUAAAUGCCCUACUUUCAUGAUUUAAUAUCACCAUAGCAUUAAUUUUUACAAUUGCCAUAAAUUUCACCUAAAGUUGAGUAACUUUUUGUGAGUAGUGUAUGUAGACAUGUAAUGUAAGCACACUUAAAUAAUACAUCUGCUGCAGUAGUGCAGUUUAUCUAGCAAGGUGUGACAUAUGUUGCAAGAAACAAUAUACGUUGCUGAUAUGUUUCAGAUAGAAAUCUGCUUGAAAACCACAACUGUGUCAGAGCCCUCUUCUCUCCCUCUUUCCUUCUGGCAUCCCUAAUACCUUUUUCCUCUCCCUUCCCUCUCUAUCUCUCCCCAGCAGUGUCGAGGAGAAAGCAGACAAGGCUGCUUCUAGUCGGGCAAUCAGCAGCUUCGUUGGAGUCGUGACAGCUGAGAGGAAUUCCACUAAUCACCUACUCCUGCUUCAAAAGACUGGUUCUCUCUUCCAUUCAUCGCCAGAUUGUUGUACUUGACACAUAACCGGCUGUCCUACUCCGACCUGCUGCAUUCUGCCUGCUUGCCUCAGUAAAGCUCCGAAAAUCCGCUCGCCGUACUCCGGCUGUUUUCCUCGCUGGGGACCCACCUGACAUCUCGAACGCCGCCGAACCUUCCAGGCUCCCUUCCUCCUGGCGUUUUCCCCGGACAAAUUUGCCUCCGAUCGGCCAGUUCUCUCGCUGCCCCUUCUCGGAUCUUCUUCCCCAAAGACCUCAGCUCAGUUGCCGCCAGGGAUCCCAUUUCCCACCCGCCGCCACACUCGACUCUUCCUCCCCUCCACGGGACUGACAGCGGCUGCCGAUCCCCGGCCCACCCCCUCCGGAACCAAACCACCAACCCCCCACUCUAGCCGAAUCACCCGGUCCUCUCCUGCCAUCUCCAUCACCUGUUAGCAAUAAAACCCUCAUCAUACCUCA